rnacentral:misc_RNA from 1 species
CAUCGACAAGUAAUACAACGUAGAUCGACGAAAAAAUAGUCAAGCAACUACGCGUUAUCAAAGAUUACUCAAAAAGUAGUUAACAAAUCUCGAUAAAAUUUAUAUGUGACCACAUGAUAAAUACCAGCUUUCGAUUAAAUUAAAAAUUAUCAAAAUCGGUACACCCAGUAAAAAGUUAUUACGGAUUUUUGAGAGUUUCCCUCGAUUCCUCUGGGAUCUCAUCAUCACAUCCUGGUUUCCUUAUCACGGUACCAAACUAGGGAUAUCCCCUUUCCAACAAAAAAAGAAUUAUCAAAAUCGGUACAUCCAGUAGAAAGUUAUGCGGUAUAAUACAACGUAGGUCGACGAAAAAAGCGUCAAGGAAAAACGCAUUAUUAGAUAUAACUCGAAAAGUAGUUGUUAGAUCUCAAAUAA